GAAAAACUACCUAACUAAACAUACAUCUCUACCAUAUAUACUAAUAUUAUCUCUACUUUCAAACAAUUACAUAUAUUACCACUUUUAAUAUUUUAUACCUUAUAUUUUAAAAUAUAAUAUUAGAUACACAAAUUCCUUAAAACUAGGAUUGAUUAAUUAUCUUUACAUUUAAACACCAAAAUUAAUAAUCCAAUUAUAAUUAAUAUUUGUUCUCUCUCAUCAAGUUUCCCUUUGCCAUGUCUCCAGAACUUGAUAAAAUUAUUUCAUUAUGUAUCUAGUUUAAUUUUCAUAUGUAUCUAAUUGUAAUUUCAACGUAUCUAAACUUUAUGAAUUGUAUUUGAUUUUAGUCCGCCUUGAUUUUAAUUGCCUUAUGUAUCUAGUGUUUUUUUUC
rnacentral:lncRNA from 1 species